GGAAUAUGAAGUAGCAGAGGAGGUUGAUGAAUGGAGGAAUAUGAAGUAGCAGAGGAGGUUGGUGAAUGGAGGAAUAUGAAGUAGCAGAGGAGGUUGGUGAAUGGAGGAAUGUGAAGUAGCAGAGGAGGUUGAUGAAUGGAGGAAUAUGAAGUAGCAGAGGAGGUUGAUGAAUGAAGCAAUAUGAAGUAGCAGAGGAGGUUGAUGAAUGGAGGAAUGUGAAGUAGCAGAGGAGGUUGAUGAAUGGAGGAAUGUGAAGUAGCAGAGGAGGUUGAUGAAUGGAGGAAUGUGAAGUAGCAGAGGAGGUUGAUGAAUUAAGGAAUAUGAAGUAGCAGAGGAGGUUGCUGAAUGGAGGAAUAUGAAGUAGCAGAGGAGGUUGCUGAAUGAAGUAGGAAUAUGAAGUAGCAGAGGAGGUUGAUGAAUGAAGCAAUAUGAAGUAGCAGAGGUUGAUGAAUGGAGGAAUAUGAAGUAGCAGAGGAGGUUGAUGAAUGAAGCAAUAUGAAGUAGCAGAGGUUGAUGAAUGGAGGAAUAUGAAGUAGCAGAGGAGGUUGCUGAAUGGAGGAAUAUGAAGUAGCAGAGGAGGUUGAUGAAUG